AGCUCAGUGGCACAGAGCGUACCUGGCAAACACGAUGUCAUAAGUUCAAUUUCCGGCACCAAAAUAAAUAAAAGAUUAUAUAAACAAACACCAACUCUAACAUCUUGGAAGGAAGGAUGUUGUUCCAAGCAACAGGCAGCAAGUUCUAAGAGAGACAGCUGGAAAAAUAUUUAAAAGAUCAUGGAUUGCUGGAAACAAGUUUUUCUAGUGAGGAAUCUUCUCAGUGAAGGACCACCCACACUUUCAUCUCUAAGAAAAUUGAGUAUCAGUAUUACAGAGGCAGAGUUACCCUACAGCUAUACAAGAUCUGGGCAAACAUAUUUUUUGUGUGGACCAUGUUCAUGUAAAGAAUUUAAGUGACUCAAAUCUGGCAUGUCAGAACCAUCCUAGACGUCCAAUCUCACAUGAUCUUCAAAAGAAACAGCCGUGGGAGCAGUCCACUGGCCAGGCUCUUGGAAGCAGCUCAUCCCCACGGAACAGGGUCUGGGAUGAUCUGGUAUACCUGAGUCUUGAGCAUUUAGAGGUAUCUGGUUAUGCUUCUGUGUGAGAGAGAAUAUUAAAGAGGGAAGAAACAGAGAUUCUGUUCUGGGCUUAUGGUGCCACAAUCACAGAGCACAGCUUCACUUGAUCACAAGCACUGAAGGAGACCGAAAACUCAGAGAAAGCCAAACCCAAGCAUGGGCCUCAGUUGUGGACAUCAAAGUGAGGUCCUAUGCUAACUGUCACAGGGCCUAGUUAAAUAAAUGCAUGUACAUCCAUGUACAUAAAUACAUGUGCACCCAUGCGGACGGACAAGCAAAGAGGGACUGGCAGCAAGAUGACAGAUCUUAGUUUAGAAGAGACUCCUUUGUUUUUUCACCCCACUAAUAUUUCUCAGAUGCCCUGUGUCAGGCCAUAUAGUAAAUACUUAGAAGAGCAGCAGUGAAUAAAUGUGUCCUCCAGAUGACCCCUCUACUGCAGGAUUUCUCAAGCGUAACUCUUAAUCAGAAUCGUUUUGGGACUCUUUUUUAAAAUAUUUGCUCCCAAGCCCAGUCUAAAACAAUUCAUUCACAUUUUGGAUGCAGAAGCUAAGGCAUCAGAAUGCUUUGAAGUUACCCUGGUGAUGCUAAUGUUCAGCCAGUCUUGACAAGUAUUGGUCCAGUAGUGAGAAAUGGCACUAACGGGAUGUAUUCCCUCUCCUACUGCUGCUUCCAUAGCCUCUGGCUUAAUCCAGCAUGUUCUGAAUCCUUGUAAGAGUGUGAGCAUUCUGUUGUAGGGCUGUUUGCUUGCUCAGUCCUUUCUGCCCCAGGAGUGUACAAGGGCUCUUCUGCUCCAUUAAUGAAACCAUCUAAUUAGAGGACAGUUUCCCCACUGUGGCAGGCCAAGCUCCACAUGACCAUGGAGCCUUGAAGAUGUCACUCCUUUGAUGAUUCUUUCUUGGCUAAGAGCUUAACACCAGGCUGACUGUAAACUCCACAAGUUAGCUUCUCAAACCAAGCACACAGAGAACUUUUUGGAUCACAAUAGCUCACCUGUAACAGUUAUGCAACCAAAUGUCUGUCACUCGUUGCUAGACGAUUCAAGUGCACUGUAUUAUCUUCUGUCAACCUUUGGAAUUUAGGCACAUAAGUGUUUUUAAAAUACAAAAUAUUUGCUUAAUUCUAAACUCAAAAUGAAUUUUUAAAAGUUUGUUUAAAAUGAAAUUCAAAAAGAAAAUGUUUAUUUUUACUUAAAAGUUUUACAGUUUUUCUUAUGUAUGUAACUGUACCCUACAAUUCUAAUAUCUUAAAUAAUAAUAAAGAUAAUGAUAAAUAUCCUUCAGUCAUAAAGAGGGGUAAAUUUAUAGGAAAAUGAAUGCAUUUUGAAACCAUAAUCCUAAGUUAAAUUAAUCAGACAUAAAAGGUUAAAUAUCUCAGGUUUCUCUUAUAUGAGAAACAACCAAAAUAAAUAAUUUAAAGAGCAAAGUAAGAGAGAGGGCUGAGAAUAUAGCUCAGUGGUAGAGCCCCUGCCUAACUGCUGAGGCCCUGGGUUCAAUCCCCAGUAUCAAAAAGGAGAAAAGAUAAAAGAUGAUGGGAAACAGGACGAUAGACUGAGGAGAUAGGAAGGAAAAAAUAGGUAGAUAUAAUAGGUAGGUAUGUAGACAGAUGAUAGAUAGAUAGAUAGAUAGAUAGACAGACAGACAGAAAGAAAGCAGUAUUUCUUCCCUAAGCCAGGUACAGAAAGACAAAUACUACAUGUUCUUAUUUACAUGGAAGCUACAAAAAUUUGACUUUAUUGGAGCAGAGAAGAUAAUGGUCACAAGAGACUAGGAAGGGUCAUGAGGACAGAGAUGGAGGGAGACUGAAUAGAAGGUACCAAAAUACAGUUAGACAGGUGGGAUAACUGCUAGUGCUCUGCAGUGUAGAAGGGAGGCUACAAGCGUUAUCUAUUUUUAUAGAACCAGAAGAGAAGUUCCUAACACAAAGAAAUAAUAAUUGUUUAAGGACAUAGAAAUGCUAAUUGCCCUGAUUUGAUCAUUAUGCGA
rnacentral:lncRNA from 1 species